rnacentral:lncRNA from 1 species
UAUUUUUUCCUACUUUUUUAGCAAAUUCUAGUCAUCUCACAACCUGGAAAAUACAGCUAAACAUUGAACACUUUUUUUUUUUUUUUUUUUUUUUAAAGGAAUCCCUGGAAACCUGUUAGCUGCCAGUUUUACGGCACUCGAUGCGUGUUGGAAUGUAAGAUCAGAUGCAGCUUUUCUUUGGAUACGACUGAGACGUAUCUACAGGAGCUGCAGUGGUUAAGCUGGGCCCUGGAGGAAUCCCACAUAGACACCGUUCACCUCUGCCAGGAUUGAACACCGCCGGUCAGCAACACCACUCGCUGGAUCAAAGAGCACAAGGGAGCUCAGAUGCCUUGGAGGUGGAACUGAGGGCCCUUAGAGCUCAGGCAGAUGUGAAGGAGGCCAACAGUCACGGUUAG